rnacentral:rRNA from 1 species
UACGUAGGGGGCAAGCGUUGUCCGGAAUCACUGGGCGUAAAGCGCGCGCAGGCGGCUAUCUACGUCCGGGGUGAAAGCCCAGAGCUCAACUCUGGGAUUGCCUUGGAUACGGGAUCGCUUGAGGAUCGGAGAGGCAAGGGGAAUUCCACGUGUAGCGGUGAAAUGCGUAGAGAUCCGGAGGAACACCAGUGGCGAAGGCGACACGCUGGGUCACACCUGACGCUAAAGCGCGACAGCAUGGGGAGCGAACGGG